rnacentral:rRNA from 1 species
GCAAGUCGAACGAAGCACUGUGGAAAGAGACUCGGUCAAUUGAAACUUGACUAGUGGCGGACGGGUGAGUAAUGCAUCGAGCAACCUGCCCUGGAGAGGGGGACGAACAGCUGGAAACGGCUGCGUAAUACCGCAUGAUGUCUCGGGGGGCAUCCCUUGACGACCAAAGAUUUAUCGCUCUGGGAUGGGCUCAUGUCUGAUUAGAUAGUUGGCGGGGUAACGGCCCACCAAGUCUGCGAUCAGUAGCCGGACUGAGAGGUUGAACGGCCACAUUGGGACUGAGAUACGGCCCAGACUCCUACGGGAGGCAGCAGUGGGGAAUAUUGGGCAAUGGGCGCAAGCCUGACCCAGCAACGCCGCGUGAAGGAAGAAGGCUUUCGGGUUGUAAACUUCUUUUAUCAGGGACGAAGAAAGUGACGGUACCUGAUGAAUAAGCCACGGCUAACUACGUGCCAGCAGCAGC